AAUCACUGACAUGUAAGUUUUAAAGACCAGAUUGUAGGAUAUCUACUAGCUGUUUUUAUCUGGAAGUACAGAGCACUAGCAGCGUUUGUGAUUUAUCAGGCUCUGCAAAGAACAGGCUGGUUUCUUAAACACACUACAACACUUGUCUGUCCUAGGUGAGAGCUGGUUCUUGGGCCGCUGCUGAAUUUUCAGAUUAGUGGGAUAGAUGCUGCAUCCUCUGUGGGGACAGUGAGGUCAAUGUCCUGAUGAUCAAGGAGUCGUGCAAGGAGGAUUUUGUGUAAAUCCAGAAAUCUGGCAAGUGUGGUUUAAGGUUCAAGCCCCCAGUAGGAGCCUCCUGGCAAGCAGAAACUGAUGCAGCUCUUGCAGAUGCUCGUAAACAUCUAGUGUUGGUCAUGGGCUGUGGCAGGUUCUCCAAGUCAUCAUUCACACAACUUGCUUUAUGUGAUCACUGUUCUGUUCUCACGUCCAAGAUGCCAUUUAGUUUGAACUUGAACAAGGAAUUUUGCUUUUGGUAAUGUAAACUAAGGUUGUUUCAGUUUGUUUCCUUCUUGCCACUUCCCACCUCUAAGGUUUAUAUGUUUUUGAAAUCAGCCUUCUGGAAGAACAUGAAACACCACAUACAAUAACUGUAAUGAAGUUACUUGUCAGUGAACUAAAAUUCUGA
rnacentral:lncRNA from 1 species